rnacentral:rRNA from 1 species
UACGUAGGGAGCAAGCGUUGUCCGGAAUCAUUGGGCGUAAAGCGCGCGUAGGUGGCUUCGUAAGUCCGUUGUGAAAGUCAAAGGCUCAACCUUUGAAAGCCGAUGGAUACUGCGGAGCUAGAGUACGGAAGAGGCGAGUGGAAUUCCUGGUGUAGCGGUGGAAUGCGCAGAUAUCAGGAGGAACACCAAUAGCGAAGGCAGGUCUCUGGGCAUUAACUGACGCUGAGGAGCGAAAGCGUGGGGAGCGAACAGG